rnacentral:rRNA from 1 species
UAAUGUAUGGGGAUCUGCCCGAUAGAGGGGGAUAACUACUGGAAACGGUGGCUAAUACCGCAUAAUGUCUACGGACCAAAGCAGGGGCUCUUCGGACCUUGCACUAUCGGAUGAACCCAUAUGGGAUUAGCUAGUAGGUGGGGUAAAGGCUCACCUGGCGACGAUCUCUAGCUGGUCUGAGAGGAUGAUCAGCCACACUGGGACUGAGACACGGCCCAG